rnacentral:rRNA from 1 species
GAGUUUGAUCUUGACUCAGAUUGAACGCUGGCGGCAUGCCUUACACAUGCAAGUCGAACGGCAGCACGGGAGCUUGCUCCUGGUGGGCGAGUGGCGAACGGGUGAGUAAUGCAUCGGAACGUAUCCUGGAGUGGGGGGAUAACGUAGCGAAAGUUACGCUAAUACCGCAUAUUCUGUGAGCAGGAAAGCGGGGGACCUUCGGGCCUCGCGCUCUUGGAGCGGCCGAUGUCGGAUUAGCUAGUUGGUGAGGUAAAGGCUCACCAAGGCGACGAUCCGUAGCAGGUCUGAGAGGAUGAUCUGCCACACUGGAACUGAGACACGGUCCAGACUCCUACGGGAGGCAGCAGUGGGGAUUUUGGACAAUGGGGGCAACCCUGAUCCAGCCAUGCCGCGUGAGUGAAGAGGGCCU